UGCUAGUCAGCGCUUUCUAGCUAAUGUGAGAGCGCGGCAUACAGCUCAGUAUCACGUGGCUAACCUGCCCUUGGGACGGAAACACCCCCGGGAAACUGGGGCUAAUUUCCGAUAGGUGAAAAACUCUGGAAUGAAUUUUCGCUCAAAAGACGUUUAUGUCAUGCUCAUAGACGUUGCCCAGGGAUGGGGCCGCGACCGAUCAGGUUGUUGGUGAGGUAAUGGCUCACCAAGCCUUUUACCGGUACGGGCCGUGAGAGCGGGAGCCCGGAGAUGGGCACUGAGACAAGGGCCCAGGCCCUACGGGGCGCAGCAGUCGCGAAAACUUUGCAAUACACGAAAGUGUGACAAGGCUAUCCCGAGUGCCAUCCGCUGAGGAAGGCUUUUACCCAGUAUAAAUAGCUGGGAGAAUAAGGAGAGGGCAAGUCUGGUGUCAGCCGCCGCGGUAAUACCAGCUCUCCGAGUAGUGUGGAUGUUUAUUGGGCCUAAAGCAUCCGUAGCUUGCUAAGCAAGUCCCCUGUUAAAUCCACCGAUUCAAUCGGUGGAUUGCGGGGGAUACUGUUUGGCUAGGGGACGGGAGAGGCCGACGGUAUUCCCGGGGUAGGGGUGAAAUCCUAUAAUCCCGGGAGGACCACCAGUGGCGAAGGCUGCUGACUUGAACACGCCUGACGGUGAGGGACGAAAGCUGGGGUAGCGAAUCGGAUUAGAUACC
rnacentral:rRNA from 1 species